rnacentral:lncRNA from 1 species
GGCGGCCAGCUGGGGCACAAGGGAUCCUGCAGAUAGCAGACGGAGUCCCGCGGGACUUGGUUGGUGCCCCGUCCCUUAGUCUCCCGCCCCUAACCCGGGAUCAAGCCCAGAAGAAAGAAGGCACAGUAUUUCCGAGGGGCGUGUCGGGACAGUCAGAAAUGUGGGUUGGGAGGUCAAGGCUGGAGGCUGAGAGGAGGAGGCAGGCGAAUGACCGGAUUCCCUAGGAUUGGUUCUGCUGGGGUUAACAGAGAUAAAAGCAGGACGCCUGGGUUCCCUCCUUCGUCUCCUUUUUGGGUUCCCAGAAUUCCUAAAGCUAUUUUCUCAGGAAAUUUAGCCAGCUAGCAGCUUCUUCGCCCUGGUAGGAGUCAAAGGUCUGUGUUCGAGGUGGCCUGGGAUGAUGUCACCAGUGCACGUGCCCCGGGACGGUUGCCAGGCAAUGCGAUCUCCUCCCCUUUCCAUUCCCUCCCACCUCUGCCCAGAGUCCCGUUCCAGUCCCGUGCCAUCUCUUUCUCCUUUCCUUUCCCUUGGCAUUAGCAUCCUGCAGGUGGGAAACCCUGGCCUGGAGUUUCGUGAAGGGGGAGGGGCGCGGGUGUGGUGUGGCCUGAAAGACUUUGCCCCUUUGCUGGCUUGAGAGAAUUCUGGGUCUUCCCCCCCCUUCUUUUUCCUAGAUUGCCAUGGAAAAACUUCCUCUCCAGUCCCCACUACCACUACCACCCCCCGUACUCCCUCCCGCGCGCCCUUGGAAGUGUCUCCUGAAGUCUUUUUAGUUUCCCACCUGCUGCAUGGCCCAGUGUCAGGUUGCCCCUUUCCCAGCUUGAGCUGAAGUGGGUGUAGUUGCAAGACAGCUGCCCCUAAGAGAGGAGCUGUAUGUGGGUAUACACACCAGCCCAUCCCUGCGACUCCCGUCACCUCCUCUUACCAAACUGAGGAGAAAGAGUUAGGCUGAAAAGUCAAGGUCUUUAUCUGUGUAGGUAGGUGGAUCAGCUUCUGGUAUUGCCCACUUUUGAGAGAGAAGUCCAGUGAUAGUUAUGGCUGCCCUCUGUUAAAUCUUGGAGUUGGUGAUGGUAUUACAGAGUCUCCUUUCUUGUGCCUAAGAAUGUGGAUUGUCGGCUCAAACCUGGAUUCUAACCCCAGCUCUGCCACUAAAUGGGACUCGGGAAAAGUCACAACCUUGCAGAACCUCCUAUCUGCAAUCUGGGACAUUUAAAUAUCAAUACCUACCUUCUAGCUGAUGGGAGGGGGCAGUGAAAUAAUUUAUGCAAAGCAUUUAGCACAGUGGUUGGUAUAAAAUUAAUACCGAAUGAGUAUCAGAAAAUACAUAUUAUUAAAUGUUGUUAGUUAUUA